UACGGAGGGGGCUAGCGUUGUUCGGAAUUACUGGGCGUAAAGCGCACGUAGGCGGACUGUUAAGUCGGGGGUGAAAUCCCUGGGCUCAACCCAGGAACUGCGUCCGAUACUGGUUGGCUUGAAUCCGGGAGAGGGACGUGGAAUUCCAGGUGUAGCGGUGAAAUGCGUAGAUAUCUGGAGGAACACCGGUGGCGAAGGCGACGUCCUGGACCGGCAUUGACGCUGAGGAGCGAAAGCCAGGGGAGCAAACGGG
rnacentral:rRNA from 1 species